GGGCGGUUAGCUCAGGGGUAGAGCACUUGCUCGACACGCAAGGGGUCACUGGUUCGAUCCCAGUACCGCCCACCA
rnacentral:tRNA from 1 species